rnacentral:rRNA from 1 species
GCCCUAGUAACGGCGAGUGAAGCGGCAACAGCUCAAAUUUGAAAUCUGGCUCUCGCGGCCCGAGUUGUAAUUUGUAGAGGAUGCUUUUGGUGCGGUGCCUUCCGAGUUCCCUGGAAUGGGACGCCAGAGAGGGUGAGAGCCCCGUACGGUUGGACGCCUACCCUAUACAUAGCUCCUUCGACGAGUCGAGUAGUUUGGGAAUGCUGCUCUAAAUGGGAGGUAAAUUUCUUCUAAAGCUAAAUACUGGCCAGAGACCGAUAGCGCACAAGUAGAGUGAUCGAAAGAUGAAAAGUACUUUGAAAAGAGGGUUAAAUAGCACGUGAAAUUGCUGAAAGGGAAGCGUUUGCGACCAGACAUUUCCAUGGCGGAUCAUCCGGUGUUCUCACCGGUGCACUUCGCCUGGUUUAGGCCAGCAUCGGUUCUCUUUAGGGGGAUAAAGGCCUGGGGAAUGUGGCUCCCUCGGGAGUGUUAUAGCCCCUCGCGCAAUACCCUUCGGGGGACUGAGGAUCGCGCUUUUGCAAGGAUGCUGGCGUAAUGGUUGUCAACGACCCGUCUUGAAACACGGACCAAGGAGUCGAACAUUUAUGCGAGUGUUUGGGUGUUAAACCCUCACGCGUAAUGAAAGUGAACGGAGGUGAGAGCCCUCGCGGGCGCAUCAUCGACCGAUCCUGAUGUCUUCGGAUGGAUUUGAGUAAGAGCAUAGCUGUUCGGACCCGAAAGAUGGUGAACUAUGCGUGGAUAGGGUGAAGCCAGAGGAAACUCUGGUGGAGGCUCGCAGCGGUUCUGACGUGCAAAUCGAUCGUCAAAUCUGCGCAUGGGGGCGAAAGA